rnacentral:rRNA from 1 species
UACGGAGGGUGCGAGCGUUGUCCGGAAUCAUUGGGCGUAAAGGGCGCGUAGGUGGCCCGGUCAGUUCGUGGUGAAAGCGCGGGGCUCAACCCUGGAAUUGCCUUUGAUACUGUUUGGCUAGAGACCGGAAGAGGUAAGUGGAACUGCGAGUGUAGAGGUGAAAUUCGUAGAUAUUCGCAAGAACACCAGUGGCGAAGGCGGCUUACUGGUCCGGUUCUGACGCUGAGGCGCGAAAGCGUGGGGAGCAAACAGG